rnacentral:rRNA from 1 species
GAUGAACGCUGGCGGCGUGCCUAAUACAUGCAAGUCGAGCGAACGGACGAGAAGCUUGCUUCUCUGAUGUUAGCGGCGGACGGGUGAGUAACACGUGGAUAACCUACCUAUAAGACUGGUAUAACUUCGGGAAACCGGAGCUAAUACCGGAUAAUAUUUUGAACCGCAUGGUUCAAUAGUGAAAGACGGUCUUGCUGUCACUUAUAGAUGGAUCCGCGCUGCAUUAGCUAGUUGGUAAGGUAACGGCUUACCAAGGCAACGAUGCAUAGCCGACCUGAGAGGGUGAUCGGCCACACUGGAACUGGAACACGGACAAGACUACUACGGGAGGCAGCAGUAGGGAAUCUUACGCAGUGGGCGAAAGCCUGACGGAGCAACGCCGAGUGAGUGAUGAAGGUCUUCGGAGCGUAAAACUCUGUUAUUAGGGAAGAACAUAUGUGUAAGUAACUGUGCACAUCUUGACGGUACCUAAUCAGAAAGCCACGGCUAACUACGUG